rnacentral:rRNA from 1 species
UACGUAGGGGGCAAGCGUUGUCCGGAAUCAUUGGGCGUAAAGAGCGUGUAGGCGGCUCGGUAAGUCCGCUGUAAAAGUCCAGGGCUCAACCCUGGAAAGCCGGUGGAAACUGUCGAGCUAGAGUCCGGAAGAGGCGAGUGGAAUUCCUGGUGUAGCGGUGAAAUGCGCAGAUAUCAGGAGGAACACCAGUGACGAAGGCGACUCUUUGGCCUGUAACUGACGCUGAGGCGCGAAAGUGUGGGGAGCAAACAGG